UUCAAGUUUUUACGCUCUUAUAUUAUAUUUUUAUAUAAUUAAUUUGUUGAAAAUGGUUUAACUCCUGUAUUAAUAGCAACUGUAGGCAAAAUACAUUUAAAGUUAAGUCCUGUGCAUACCGGAUGCGUGUGCGUAAACAUGCACGUGCGCGUUGUAAUAUACAGAACCUUAUGAUAGACGGCACACCGCUUGCGUGACGUGUGCGCACGAUUUCAACAUUUUAUCGCACGCGCACGUGCACGUCUAAGCACGCGCAGCCGGUGUGAUCUGGCCUUUAAGGUGAACCCUGUCGUGAUAGCAUAUACCGCCUGAAGAAGGGCUCCCAAUAAGUCAAAAUCAAUCCAAGCUGUCGCAAUGCUUCUUCAGGUAUUUAAAUAAAAGUAAAUUUGUAAAUUUUCGGGUAGUUAUAACAUUUAUUGGUUAACCAACCAAACCGCCUGGAUGCGCGCCGCACUGAACGACCUGACUUUAACCUACAUUGUUUGAUCAUGUAAUGUUUUCAACUGGCUCAAGGAGCCAUUUGAGGGUAGAUUUUGUUUACCUACUUUUAUUUAAAUACCUAAAGGUACAGACUAUAGGGAACGCAACGUGACUAAAGCUAAAGAGUAAAGACACAAUAUUCAGAGACUGGGUAGAUGGAGUUAAUUGAUAAGUCGUAAGCCUUAUUACAAACACAUAAGGUUCACCGGUGGUCAGUUAAUCCUUUGAUCGCCAAUGACGUCAACUACAGCCCAAUUUCAACCUUCGUGCAUUCAGACAAGGUUUAAUGUCUGAUUUAAAUUAUGAUAUUUAUUACUAAUUAAAGGAUAGCUUGAAUCAACUUAUCAUUCGAUAGGUAUCUGGAUGCCACAGAGCCACAACCGGCUUCAGAUGUGUUACAAACUGCACUAAUUGUUUUUUAGGUAUUUAAAGGUAGGUAGGUUUAGAUAUAUGACAGUCAGGUGGUUUUUAUUAAAAAAUAAAAAAUUAACCGACUAUAGUUCCAACAAAAGAUAUGUCAUACACCUAAAGCAUUCAAUGUUUGUUAUGGAAAAAGUUACAAAUAUGGUAUACGUACAUAUUAUCAAUAUUGGUGAGUAUAUGCCUUUUUGGUAGAUUAGAUAUGAUAAGUUAUUGUGACAUGACAUGAUAUAUAGACGAGUUUUAAAACUAGCAUAAUUGUAGUUUUUAAUACGGUAUUCAAUUUAAAAAGCCCAAUUUGAAUGAAAUGCAGAGAUUCCUUGUCAAUAAACUUUACACCUUAACCUUACACGACUUACAAAUUGGCACUUUUUGAGCAAACAUCACUCAUCCUUAGUAUCUAACAUGCGUACCUAAAUAACUUGCUUAAAUCACAGACCUACCACACUACGCACCUUUUACAGAAAAAAAAAACAUUUUUACCAAAGGUAGCAUUAUUUCAUUUGUUACUUUAUGCCAUGGAAAUAAAGUAUAAAAUUGUAUACACUGCUCAGAGUAAACAACUUUACGUAAAAUGAGAAUACGUUAUAAAAGAUGAAUACAACAUUAUAUGAUUCCCAUCUGUACAUAAGUGUGGUAAGAUAGUAGUACAGUCGCCAUCAGAUAUAUGGGAGCGGCCGUGGUGUUCAAAAAUAUAUCAACACGCACUCUAACGCCUUGACAAUAGAGGCGUGUUCAGAUAUUUGUGAGCACCUUGGCCGCUCCGAUAUAUCUGAUGGCGACUAUACAACUGUACUCUUAAUUUUUACUCCGUUAAAUUCAUCUAAUUUUUUCGUUAGCUUAUUAAAAACAGUUCAUAACAGAGUAAAGCUUGAAUUAUUUAGAAUAUAUUCACAAUAGAUACACGUAUAGGGCUUACAAGAUAUGUGUUAUAAAUUACAUUUACAUGAUAUCGAUUUUCAUAAGACAAAGUUAACUUUAGGAUAAAAUAAAAAUAAAUCUUGAUUUUUUAAUUAUAUAAAUUUUUAAAUAUGAUAUAUUAUAAAAUAUUAAACUGUAAAAUGAUUAAAAACAAAGUAAAAACACAUGUGGAAUGUAACAAGUGCAUCCACGGUGAGAAUAUUACAGCUUACUUUUAAAUCUUAUAAUACUAUAGGAUAUCACUAGGGUUAUUGCUUUUCAAGAAGCGUCACACGUUACGUGAAGCAGCAAUAAUAUUAUUACACGAUUACUUUUAGUUUGCGACUUACAGAUAGUUUGAAUGCUACCUAAGGUCAAUGUGGCAAAAACCGUCUAUAGAGGAAGACCGUCUACAGGCUCUUUGCGACGCUUUUAACUCUUGUACAUAAUUAUACUCCACAGAAGGUCGAUAGAGCAUGAGUAAGCUUAGGUAUACAAAUAUGAGAGUUCAGGCUCCAAUUUCACCACGGCUACAAUUGUCAGUGACAUAUUUCGAGAUCCAAUUGUCAAGCGACAGGUGACAUAUUACAAUUUUAUAAAAUAUUUUCUAUACAAAUACAAACAUGACAGGCAGUUUGCUACAAUUGUAUGUAUUACAAUUAUGUUGUGAAAUAAGAUUUUUUUUUUCUAGUCGACAUAUUUGUAGAAUUGUCGGUGAAUCUUGACAGGAAAUGAGGUAUAUAUCGGAAUUUCGUUACAAUUGUAGUGUUUCUUGUGACAAUUGUCAUAAACUUAGCAAGAGAAAUAUCUGUUUUUUUCCGAUAUAAUAAAGUUUUUUUUAAUAAUUCAAUGAUGGUGGCAAACAGGAAUACGGCCCGCCCGAUGGUAAGCGGUAACCGUAGCCCAUUGAUGCCUGUGACGUCAGCAACAGUGAUGUUUUACAAUUGUCGCACCUGUCACCCUGGUGAAAUUGGGGCCUGGCCGUAUGACGGUCUUUCUAACAAUAAAUUUGAUAUGACGGUUUUUUAUUUUAAUUAAAUGUUUUGUUAAAGCAAAAUUUGUAUUUCCUAAAAUAUGCAUGCACCUCUUUACUUAAUAUUUCGCUGACGAAAGUGUUGCAGCCAUUAUUUACGCAUUUAACAUGCAAAAUGUGUGUUGUUAAUAUGUUAAUAAAAAUCACACAUACCAAAUUUUGGUUCUAGAAUAGACUUUAUGAUUAUCAUAUUAAGGUAGAAAAUGAAAUUAAAAACUUGUGUCUAUCCCAAACCAUAAGUAAUCGUCGUAUAAAAUAAAUAUACGUUUCAUACAAUUACAAUAGUUCAUUCAUAUUAUAAUAUUUAUAUGUUAAUAACAUUUUGCAUAUUGAAACACGUGACGUAAUAGUGACGUUUAUUAACGGAAAUUUUCGUAUUACUGUUGCUUGAAUAACGUUAAUAGUAUUUAUAUUGAUAUUGAGCAACAGUACUAUUUGAACUACUGGCCUUGUACGAAACUUUACUUGGCCACUUUUAAAUACACUACGUACGUACCAUAGUCGUAUGUUUUAUAUUAUUUUGAUUUAACAUGGUGACAUGAUAAAAUAUCAUUUAAUACAACCACCAUUUUUUUUUAGAUUUAGCUACCUAUAUAAAAUUUUGUUUUUCGUACCUUUCCAACUUGUUUUAGACGAUACAAAUGCUUUCUGUAGAACCUAAAUAAUAGGUUAUAUUUAUUCAUUUGUAUAUAAGUAGGUAUAUAGAACAAAAACUUGAUUAGGCGGUACCAAUAGAAUGAAUUAAACGAGUUAAAGUUUUCUUAAGCUACAAUGAAAAUGGUAGUGUAAAUAUCAAUGCAUAAUCUUUAUAAUUAAAGCGAUGGGCAGUUUUUAUCUACUUAAAAGUAAUGAUAUCAAAUAAACACAUUCCUUAGUAAAUAUAAAAUGAUUUUCUUUUUUAAAAAACACGGUAAAACAUAUUACUUAUGUUAAACAUUUGAAAUGCCGAUAAAUGAUAUUUCAUAAAAUGUGAAAUAUUUUGAUUUUAUAUUUCGAUGGUAAAUACAUUCUCUGAUUUCGGUGUAAUAACGAAUUUACGUAAAUAAUAAAGUUCCGCCCCAACCCUUAUCCUAACACUUACGUUAUAUUAUUUCUUUAACGCGGUAGAUUUAAUAAAUUUAUGAAUUCAUUUAAAAACAGGAGAUCACUCACGUUAUACAGUUCUUCACUGACAUCGUGACACGGGAAACGGGUGAGAUAUCUAACUAUCCGCGUUACGUAUUAUUUCGCAUAACCGUGCUCGACAUUUCCGAUAUCUCGCAAUAAUGCGUCGGACAUAUACACGGCUACGCGGCGGUCCCCCGGCAAACUCAUUCACCCAUAACGGAGUCGAACAGUCUCACCCACUCAUCGCGUCACGGCGACUCGACAUCCUCGAUGACGGUUUCGCGCGGCGGCGGCACCGGCGGCGUCGGCGCGAGGGGCGCCGCGCUCGCGGCCGCGGCGCGCGAGGGGGCUGCGGGGGCCCCGUCCCUCA